UUACGGACAGAGUAGGCCGUGGACACCAAGAUGGAGACACAGAUGGAUUUAUUUCAAAUGAUGCAAACAGACAGUGAGUAGAUGAAUGCAUACUGGUCACUGAUACCGCUAGCGAGGUUGGAGAUCCAAGGUAGAAGACACACACACCGGAGACAGAAGAAACACAGGACAGGAGUCAGGAAAACACUCUUUUUCGUUGGGGAGGAGUCCGAGACGUUGCAGCACAGGAUACAGCAAACUGUCCGUAUUACAAACGAGACCACACACUGACUGAGAUGAGUGGUGUGCUUUUGUACUGGGGCUGGAGUGUUGCAGAUGGAUAUCAGCCUUUCUUGGGAUUCAACUGUCAACUUUCCAGGUACCUGGCCACCUGUCUGCCCUGCAGGCUACAGCCACUUCAGCCUCCAUGACCUCCAUGCCAGCAUACCAGAGAAGAUGGAUUACAGUCGAGGAUAGGCAGCACCUAACCAGCAGGAUACAUUAGCAAUGACGUCAAAAUGUCUUCCAUGAAAAAGGCCUAUAGCUCCACCCAUCUUCAACCUAAGUGGAGUUCUUUUUAGCCAGAAUAAUUGAAAACCUGUAUGUGCAUAGAGCUUUUACAGGUAUCGGCCCAUAUUGAAAGACUUUAUGGUGUAUUAUCAGACAGCCGAUGCAGUUCAUGUUUACAUUUACUUUCCAAUUGACCAGUCUGAUCAGUGAUAUGUUUUAUCAGAAGUCUAUGGUCAGACAGCCUUCUGAUCUGCCCGCACCAAUCGUAGCGAAAGAGGGCUUGGAUUGUGUAAGAGCAACGAACAGAAGGCAACCCGGGACCCAAAGUCACAGGACCCAAGGACAUCGCUGCCAGGAUCUGGGCAAAGAGCUACAAAGCUGCUAUUGUUGCUCCAAGAGGAACCUCGAGCAGACAAAUGACAAAGAAUUUCAACCACCCUUCCCCUUACAUCCAACUGGAGUUACUGUAGAAGAAAAAUAAAACAAGGAUUGGCUUUUUAAGGUUUAGCAUGUUUAUCAUUUAAACCAUAACUUUUCCCUUGGAGGGUUUAAUUAGUUUGCAUGUGUUCUUUUUCUGCAACACUAUGUUUCACGUGUACAAUCCCAGCAACAUUUUUAGGUUGUUGAUGCAGCAGCCAGAGAUGUUAACAGUUUAUUUUUAUGCAGUUUGUUUUAAUGUAUUCCAAUUUAAUAGCCCUGCAAUAAAUCCUAUAUUUGACACAGUCUCAAAAAUCUAGAAAUUACAAGCUUCACAGAGAGGUGUCAACUGGGACAGUUUAAAGCUUUACAUGGUGACUGAGUUGCAGCACCUCUUCUAGAGUCCAAAACUCACUUGUCUCAGCUUAAAAACUUCAGUAAUAAUCUACACAUCUUCACAGAUAAAUCAAUUAGGGAUACUGGUUUCUUAACUGGACUGCAGAAAUGUUUCAGGCUUUGGAUGUUACAGAAUCUGAGUAGGUCGGGUCUGCCUAUUUAAUUUUUCUUAAGGAUGGUUUUGUGUUAAUUGUGUCUGAGUUUUACUGUGUUGUAUGUCUGACUGUUGUUACUGUUUCUGUUUGUCACUGUUGAUUUUAACUGAUGUGUCUGAUAUGACUGAA